GCUUCCCUCCUUCCAUGGCCGCCACGGCCGAGUUGGUGGUCCCAAGAUCGAUACCGACCACUUUCUCGUUCACUACUCUGACCGGCCCAACAUUGCACCGCUUACCGUUGGCUUUAGCCAGUCGUAAGAAGGCGGCGUUUAACGAAGAUGUUUUUCCCAGUCUUUGACCAAAGAAAACCGUUCUGGGUGAAUGGUGGUUGGGUUUUCUCGAGGAUGCGAAGCCCAUACCACCAAGGACAUGGAUUUGGGCAGUGGAGGAAGCCAUUUUUCUAAGUGUAAGUAAAGAUAAGAAUUAACAAAGGAUACGUAAGCCUUUCGUUCAAUAAACCGAGAGAAAAGGAAACCCUAACUCCCAGAAGGAACGAGAGUGAGAAGAUUGGAAAGGCAAAGGCAAACGCUUCAGCUUUGUCGUUGGCUUAUGACUGGAAAGAAGAUAAGAGAAAGAGGGAGAAGGGUUUAGACCUUUUUUAGGGGAAGGAGGAACAAGGUAGAGCGUCUGCGUGCGCUGUGUGUGAGGGUUAGGUGGUGACACGUGGACAAUUCUAGAAUCAUCGGAUGCGCAGGAUUGACGACCGUUCGAUUUGAUACUUUGUCGCUGCUGCUUAGAUUGAAGGAGAGAUCCAGGUGGUUGGAGAAGUUGGGCUCAAUUCCACCCUUUGUUGUUUCAAAGACGGCCUACUCUUGAUCAAAGCCUUUCAAGCCCAAUGAAACUCUUGAUCAAUUAGAUUAAAUUUAAAGAGAUUAUCGAAUCAAUUAAAUUAAAUUAAUUUGAUUGAUUCGGUUAUAAAUAAAAAAAAUUAAAAUUUAUAAAUUUUACUUAUAAUUAUAAAAUAUACAAAUAAUCUAAAUAUAAAUAAAUUAAUACAAAUUAAUAUAAAUAAAUAAAAUUUAUUAAACAUAUAUAAAUCAUAACAUUUAAUAUUAACAACUUCAACUUUUUUUAAAUUAACAUCCAAAACUACAAGAGUUAAAAAAUAACCUUUAUUUUCCCCCUUAUAUAUAUAUAUAUAUAUAUAUAUAUAUAUAUAUAUAUAUAUAUANNNNNNNNNNNNNNNNNNNNNNNNNCUUAUAUUAUAUAUAUAUAUAUAUAUAAUCAUAUAUAUAUAUAUAUAAACCUUUAUCCUUUCACAUAAGUGUCACAACCCAGUAUGAAACCAUGUUCCACACAAAAGACUUACUAGACAAGACUUUCCAAUUAUAUAUAUAUCAUUUAGUACUGUAACCCAAUUCAAUAUAUUCAUAAAUAUAUAAAUAUUUAUACUUAAAGUCGAAAGUAAUCUUUCCAGAGGUACGUGGCUUUGAUUAAUAGAAACAAGACCACCGUUCGGUAACAAGAGUUCGCAAUUGUAAACGGUAACAAUCAUAUAUUAAGAAACUUUUCUGCCUUGUCUGAGGGAGCCUGGUCAUCAGCUAGACCGCACCUGCUAAAAUUUGCUAGUUUACGUUUAGUAAUGUUCUUCUUUCUGGAAAACAGGACCAAGAAGAAAACCUCAUACCUCAUACACAGUUCAAAAACCCAGCUUUUCACUUACUUUCAGUGAAAUCUACAUCAAUUACAUCACCACCGGUCCCCUUGUUUGAUGAAUCUGAAGGCCCAGUUUCACCACCAGGUUCAGACCCAGCACUGCCUCCAGCAUCAGGUUGGUUGUAGAGCGACUGGCCAAGCUGCAUAACUUCUUGGUUGAGGGCAGCCAUGGCAUCCUUCAUACCUUGAGUUGAGCCCCCUGAUGCAUCCCUGAGCUCUUGCAGUUUUGCCUUUACUUUCUCUUUGACUGGACCGGGAACCUUGUCUCCAAGCUCUUUCAGCUGCUUCUGUGUCCGGUAGAUAACAGAGUCAGCCUGGUUCUUCGCGUCUAUAGCAUCUCUUCUCUCCUUAUCCUCCUUUGCAAAUCUCUCAGCUUUCUUCACCAUUGUAUCAACCUGCAUAUAUUAAAGACAGAAUUAGGUAAUGGUUUAUUAAACAAAGAAGGCAUUUCCAGUGCUUCCAUCCAAUGCAAAUACAUAAGUUCGUGCCACCAAGUAAGUGCAAAUAAUUUUUGGAAUGUCUUACAAGCAAUUCAUCUGAGCAACACUUGGUAUACAUCCCAACAUUAAAUGCAUACCUCAUCACUGGGCAAGGUACUAGCACCAGUAAUAGUGAUGUCUUGCUUCUUCCCGGUGCCCUUAUCAACAGCAGAGACAGAGAGUAUACCAUUGGCAUCAAUGUUAAAUUUGACUUCAAUCUGUGGAAUCCCACGAGGUGCUGGUGGGAUACCAUCAAGACAGAAGCUGCCAAGAGAUUUGUUAUCCCUAACAAACUCUCUUUCACCCUGGAGUACAUUAAUCUCAACACUUGUCUGGCCAUCAGCAGCUGUUGAGAACACUGCUGAUUUGGAGGUUGGCACUGUAGUGUUUCUAGGGAUGAUUCUGGUCAUAACACCACCACGUGUUUCAAGACCAAGUGACAAAGGUGUCACAUCCAAAAGCACAACAUCAGUGACAUCUCCAGCUAAAACACCGGCCUACAACCAAUUGGGGAGACAAAAGGAAAAACAUUAAAACGAAAACUUAUGAAGAUAAUAAGACGAGCUGCAGCAAAAUUUGUAAUCCAAAAAAUCCUAUAAUCCAACCCUGUAACAUUCAACAACCAAAAGGAAUUAGUACUAUGAAGCUAAGUACUAAACCCACCUGAACUGCAGCCCCCAGGGCAACAACUUCAUCUGGAUUGACUGUGACAUUAGGUUCCUUGCCAAUCAUCUUCCUCACAACUUCCUGAACAGCUGGAAUACGUGUUGAUCCACCGACAAGAAUUACCUCAUCUAUGUCUUUAAAAGAAAGUUUUGCAUCCCUCAAGGAAUUCUCCACCGGUGUCCUCAGCCUGCAAAAUAUAUUAAACAGACAAGAGAAACCCAAAAUCUUCAGUGAUUUAAGCCAAAAAAUAUAGGAGCAAUAAAAACCGAUUUUUUUUUUUAAAAAAGAAAAGAAUAUGAACAGAUUGAAAUAAUAAAAUCUACCUGUCAAGUAGGUCCGAGCACAAUUCCUCAAACUUAACCCUGGUAAGGGUGGUCUCAAUGUGUUUGGGGCCAUCUGCAGUGGCAGUAACGAAAGGUAAACUGGAACCAGAAAAGAAAAAGCUGUAUUACUAAACACCACACAGAAAAUGCACAAACGAGAUCAUGUGCACAUAGAAAAGAGGGGGAGAGAGAUGCCUUAUGUUUGUCUGAGUUAAAGAUGAUAACUCCAUUUUAGCUUUCUCAGCUAUCUCAGUUAACCGCUGAAGAGCUUGUUUGUCUUUCAAAAUAUCUAUGCCUUCAUCUCUCUUAAAGUUGUCAGCAAGCCAAUCAACAAUUCUCUGCAUGUAAAAUAUGAUGCAUAGGACUUGCUUCAGCACUACAAAAUACAACUAAGACAAAGUAGAAUGGACGUUCAUCCAAGUAUACCUACCUUAUCAAAGUCAUUACCACCCAAACGCGUGUCUCCAGAUGUAGAGAGCACCUCAAACACUCCAUCCCCAACCUCAAGCACUGUAACAUAUUAAGAAAUAGACGAUGAAACAUUUGCUGGAUCUUCACCAAUAAAAGAUAAAUGAAGUCAACCAAACUCAGUCCUUAGAAUAAAUGAAGACCAAACCACGGAAGCAUUCCCCAAGCACAUGACUAACCAUUUCACAUGGUAACACGAAGAAUAUUGCAAGAUAGAACUUCAGAAUACAUGCAGAUAAACAGGUUCUCAAAUAGCCAGCAUACCUGACACGUCAAAAGUACCACCUCCAAGAUCAAACACAAGAAUGGUUUCAUUAUUCUUCUUCUCAAAUCCAUAUGCCAGAGAGGCAGCAGUCGGUUCAUUGAUAAUCCGGAGAACUUCUAACCCAGCAAUUCGACCUGCAUCCUUUGUUGCUGUCCUUUGGGAAUCAUUGAAGUAAGCAGGGACAGUAACAACAGCUUUGGUCACUUUAUCAUUCAAAUAUUUUGAAGCAUCAUCAACGAGCUUUCUCAAAACCUACAUAAAAAAUUACAAAUAACCCGUUAGCAAUAGAAAAAUUCUAAAUUACUAACAGCAAAAGUGCUAAAUUCUUACGCUUUGCUUAUAAAUGCCAUUAUGAAGUACUAAAGAAGUGAAAGGCCACAGAACUACGUUAAUGAUGCAUUUAGUCGAUAUGUAAAAUGAUGGAUUUGUAUCCAAACUUUAAAAGGUUCAUCAGCGAUACAUUCAUUGACAACAUCUCAAAUUGCCGAAGUCGGCAUUACAAAGACAACCCAAUUUAUGACUGAACAUAACAGCAAAAGUAAGAAGCUCCAAUACACUAUACCUGAGCUGAAAUUUCCUCUGCAGCGAAUUGUUUACCGAUGGCAGGGCACUCAAGCUUAACAUUCCCGUUCUCAUCUCUAACAACCUUGUACGAAACCUGUUUAGAUUCCUCAUCCACUUCCGACAUCUUUCUUCCUAUAAACCUCUUUACAGAGAAAAACGUAUUCUCAGGGUUGAUGACGGCUUGCCGUUUCGCAAUCUGCCCAACCAACCUAUCCCCAUUCUUGGUAUAAGCCACCCCAGAGGGCGUCGUUCUCUGCCCUUCCGCAUUAGUAACUAUGGUCAGCUUUCCUCCUUCAAUGGCCGCCACGGCCGAGUUGGUGGUCCCGAGAUCGAUUCCGACUGCUUUCUCGUUCACCACUCUGACUGGUCCAACAUUGCACCGUUUAAUGUUGUUGGCUUUAGCGAGUCGUAGGAAGGCGGCAUUUAACGGCGAGGCUUUGCCCAGUCUUUGACCCAAAAAAACCGUUCUGGGUGAAUGAUGGUUGG
rnacentral:lncRNA from 1 species